rnacentral:rRNA from 1 species
ACGCACGCUGGCGGCGUGCUUAACCCCUGCCAGUCGAACGGUGAAGCGCCUUCCUUUUUGGUGGGUGUGGAUGAGUGGCGAACGGGUGAGUAACACGUGAGUAACCUGCCCCCUUCUUCUGGAUAACCGCAUGAAAGUGUGGCUAAUACGGGAUAUUCUGGGUCUGUCGCAUGAUGGGUCUGGGAAAGAUAUUGUUUCGGUGGGGGAUGGGCUCGCGGCCUAUCAGCUUGUUGGUGGGGUGAUGGCCUACCAAGGCGGUGACGGGUAGCCGGCCUGAGAGGGUGGACGGUCACACUGGGACUGAGGCACGGCCCAGACUCCUACGGGAGGCAGCAGUGGGGAAUAUUGCACAAUGGGCGCAAGCCUGAUGCAGCGACGCCGCGUGAGGGAUGGAGGCCUUCGGGUUGUGAACCUCUUUCGCCAGUGAAGCAGGCCUGCCUCGUUUGUGGGUGGGUUGACGGUAGCUGGAUAAGAAGCGCCGGCUAACUACGUG